rnacentral:rRNA from 1 species
GAUCAUGGCUCAGGAUGAACGCUAGCGACAGGCUUAACACAUGCAAGUCGAGGGGCAGCAUGGUCAGUAGCAAUACCGACCGAUGGCGACCGGCGCACGGGUGAGUAACGCGUAUCCAACCUGCCCAUCACUUGGGAAUAACCUUGCGAAAGUAAGACUAAUACCCAAUGAUAUCCCACGAAGGCAUCCGAAUGGGAUUAAAGAUUUAUCGGUGAUGGAUGGGGAUGCGU